rnacentral:tRNA from 1 species
UAGCUCAGUGGUAAAGCAUAUGCUUAGCAUGCAUGAGGUCCUGGGUUCAAUCCUCAG